GAUGAAUGCUGGCGGCGCGCCUAACACAUGCAAGUCGAGCGGUAACAUGGACUUCGGUCUGAUGACGAGCGGCGGACGGCUGAGUAACGCGUGGGAACAUGCCCCAAAGUGAGGAAUAACUGCCCGAAAGGGUAGCUAAUGCCGCAUAUGAUCUUCGGAUUAAAGGAUUUAUCCGCUUUGGGAGUGGCCCGCGUUCGAUUAGGUAGUUGGUGAGGUAAAGGCUCACCAAGCCUACGAUCGAUAACUGGUCUAAGAGGAUGAUCAGUCAGACUGGAACUGAGACACGGUCCAGACUCCUACGGGAGGCAGCAGUGAGGAAUCUUCCACAAUGGGCGAAAGCCUGAUGGAGCGACGCCGCGUGCAGGAUGAAGGCCUUCGGGUUGUAGACUGCUUUUAUAAGUGAAGAAUAUGACGGUAACUUAUGAAUAAGCACCGGCUAACUACGUGCCAGCAGCCGCCGUA
rnacentral:rRNA from 1 species